GACGAACGCUGGCGGCAUGCCUAACACAUGCAAGUCGAACGGAGAUUACUUCGGUAAUCUUAGUGGCGAACGGGUGAGUAACGCGUGGGCAACCUGCCCUCUAGAUGGGGACAACAUCCCGAAAGGGGUGCUAAUACCGAAUGUGACAGCAAUCUCGCAUGAGGAUGCUGUGAAAGAUGGCCUCUAUUUAUAAGCUAUCGCUAGAGGAUGGGCCUGCGUCUGAUUAGCUAGUUGGUGGGGUAACGGCCUACCAAGGCGAUGAUCAGUAGCCGGUCUGAGAGGAUGAACGGCCACAUUGGGACUGAGACACGGCCCAGACUCCUACGGGAGGCAGCAGUGGGGAAUCUUCCGCAAUGGGCGAAAGCCUGACGGAGCAAUGCCGCGUGAGUGAUGAAGGAAUUCGUUCCGUAAAGCUCUUUUGUUUAUGACGAAUGUGCAGAUUGUGAACAAUGAUUUGUAAUGACGGUAGUAAACGAAUAAGCCACGGCUAACUACGUGCCAGCCGCCGCCGUAA
rnacentral:rRNA from 1 species